GGGUACCAUAUGGGAGGGGGAUGAGUGGAAGACGACCAUUAAUACUACGAAUCUCUCUCUGGUCAUGCCAUUUGGUCUUACUACCUGAUGUUUUCCAGGGGUUGUGAAUGAUCUAUGUUUGUGUUUUCGUCUUACCUGGGUGACAUUUUGAUUUUUUUCAGAGUCGACUCCCGAGCAUGUGAUACAUGUACGGUUCUGAGUUCUGAAGAAUACUUUUGGAGAACCACCUCUUGUGCAUGUUCCACACCUCGGAGGUACUCUUUAUGAGCUUCAUCGUUGCGGACUGGCCUCCACCUUCCACAUUCAAGGAACUCCAGUCCUGUGGCUGCCCCCCCCUGACCGCUCUCACCUCCCACCACGUCCCCUUUCAGUGGACAUCCGCAAGGUCAUUUCGUGAGUUAAAGGCACGAGCUGUUCCCCACCGAGAGAAAUUACGACUCUGGAUAAGUGGAUACGCUGGCUGGAGGGAGCGGAGCAGUCGUUUAUGGUCUGGAUGGACCACACAAAUCUAGAGGACAUCCGCUCUGCUAAGAGGUUAAACUCUCGUCAAGCAAGGUUUGUUCCCAUCUUCUAAAUCCACCUGAACCAGCCGCGGUGAUGCGUUCACUCGCUCCGAACGUAAACCGGAGGUUGACAGCGGAAACUAAGCGGCCGCUAGCUGCAGUCCGUUACAUCAAGAUGAAGAGAGCUUUCUGCAUUGGGAGUGAAACGAACAGAGGCGCGACACACAGCGGAGAACUGAGCGUUUCUGCAAGUCGGCAUUCUUAAAAACAUUCUUAAAAUACACUGCAAAUUUUAUUUCAAAUCUUUUAACCUCCUUUUUUUUUAUCCCUAUAAUGUUUUUUCUUUUAUGCUUCAAUUUAUCAAUGUUCUUAACUGUUUAUAAAUCUCCUCGUUUUCUGUGUGGAUGUUUUAAAUGGUUUUAUGUGAAGC
ensembl:lncRNA